rnacentral:lncRNA from 1 species
AUUACUUAAAGAUGAGGAUAACAUUUUAGAAAAAGAAUAAUCAUCAAUAUCAUCAUACUCCUAUGGUAGAACUCCAGUGGAAUCAUUCUAAAAAAUAUACUCAGUAGUUGAACGGUCUUCGGAAUAUUAAAAAUCAAAUGAAGGAACCUCGUGUUCGAAAAACUGUGAAGAAGUAUCUUCAAGUGAAAUCUUCGAAAGAAGAAACUGAGGAGAAACAACAACCUCGGGGAAAAACAUAAAAGAACCUUCUUGCAAUGAAAGUCAC